CCUACGGGAGGCAGCAGUGAGGAAUAUUGGUCAAUGGCCGAGAGGCUGAACCAGCCAAGUCGCGUGAGGGAAGAAUGUCCUAUGGAUUGUAAACCUCUUUUGUCAGGGAGCAAAGUCACCCACGUGUGGGUGUUGUAGAGUACCUGAAGAAAAAGCAUCGGCUAACUCCGUGCCAGCAGCCGCGGUAAUACGGAGGAUGCGAGCGUUAUCCGGAUUUAUUGGGUUUAAAGGGUGCGUAGGCGGAAUAUCAAGUCAGCGGUAAAAAUUCGGGGCUCAACCUCGUCGUGCCGUUGAAACUGAUGUUCUUGAGUGGGCGAGAAGUAUGCGGAAUGCGUGGUGUAGCGGUGAAAUGCAUAGAUAUCACGCAGAACUCCGAUUGCGAAGGCAGCAUACCGGCGCCCAACUGACGCUGAAGCACGAAAGCGUGGGUAUCGAACAGGAUUAGAUACCCUGGUAGUC
rnacentral:rRNA from 1 species